UCGAUUCGGUCAUUCUUCUUUUUCAAUGGCAAAAUAUUUGCAUGCCGAGAAGGCUAUUAAUUUCACUAUCUUUGAUAAGUUUGUCCAAUUCUGCUUCAAUUUGAGCUUACUAGCUCCUGAUGCAAACACCUUUCAGCACUUGCCCCGCUGCACAGUGCACAGAACAUGAGAGAAGCAAAUUAGCUGGACAAAAGGCAGCAACCCUCCGACUUACCCUCCAAAGCAAAACGAAUAAUUUAAUACCAUGGGAAAACCAAACAACCGGGAAUAGUGAUUUGCCAAAAUAGAGGGCAGGUA
rnacentral:lncRNA from 1 species